CAGGUCACAGCUUUUUCUCAAGCCCCCAAUGGAGUCCUCCUCCCUUACAAAUCGUUGCUGAACUGGGUGAGCUCUUCAGUGUUGCAGGUGUGCAACUUCCUCUUGGUUCUUGGAAUCAACUGCUCUCCUGUUCUCUCGACAGUAUUUCGCCACCCAGAACACUGCCCUGGGAAAUUGUUUAUAGUACUAUAAAGGUACGGCGUCAUGGCUUGAAAUUUGCCCAGUCCAGUCCUCUGUCCUCUGUACUUAAUUUACUACUACUACUACUACAUGUUAAUGUUUAUUUUCUGUUCACAUGGCAUGCUCACCGGCUUCACUCAUGUGCCAUGAUGAUGAUCAUCCUUAGGACGGUGUGUGGGACAAUUUCUGCCAGCGAUACAGCACCCCAGUACUGACAAGUACUCAGCACAGCAAAGGGCUGGAGUGAGAGUGACCAAGCAGAUCUAUCAGAGGGAGGGAGGGAAGGAAGCAAGCCAAGCGAGUGGUGCACGGGAUGGGGCUUGCUGAAACUUGAAAAGACCAAACAGUGGAGCCUGUCGGAGGCGAGGCACGUAGGUAAGUAGCGGUAGAAUUUAUUCCUGCCGUCGUGUCCAUGGUGUUCAGGUCGACGUGAUGGAUUUACAAAAGUGUUUCUGGAGUACGUGGUUGGAUUUUGGAUAUCUGUCUAUCCAUCUACCCAUCUCCCGGUUUUGACGUGAUGCGAUGUGUUUCUCGUUCUGAUGGCAUGGUUCUCACUUGGGCCAUCAUGGUGUCUCCUCUCCUCUCCUCUCCUGCUUGCCUGCUUGCACCUCAAGCUCCAGGAUCCUGCUGUCUUCUGCUAACAGAUUGGCAUGCAUGCAUGCGUGCAUGGGGGUCAGGAUUAAGUGGAGGGUCUGAAUAAUGCUUCUCGUCGAGUGGUCAUUUCUGGAGCGGUACACUGCGGUAUGAAUGCCAUCUCUGCCGGCGCGUACAUGCGUAUGGAUUUUUAUAUACACAGUCACGGAGCGAGCCUCCCGUCGUACGUACGUGCUCCGCGUGCACUGUGAGGCGACCAUGCCCUGCACUGUGCAUGCAUGGACCGACUCAAGGAAGGAAUUUCGAAAAGAAAAAUCAGUCGCCAUGGUUGGAAGGGUUUGUCCU